GACUCCGUAGCUCAGCUGGGAGAGCGCCACCUUGACAGGGUGGAGGCCGGUGGUUCGAGCCCACUCGGAGUCA
rnacentral:tRNA from 1 species